GCGGGUAUAGCUCAGCUGGGAGAGCGUUAGACUGAAGAUCUAAAGGUCAAGCGUUCGAUCCGCUUUACCCGCA